UCUCAAAAGAAAAUGCGCAGGACUUUGACCAAGUGCCUAACAAGGUAUUGAAAAAAAGUCAUCUCCAACUGCUGCAAAAACAGAUUCGUGUUCUUCCAAAAAUGAUUAGGUAACUACUCUUUAUACUUGCUUUUUGUACAAGUUGUAAUUUAUCUAUACACAAAUUCAACAAAUCUAUUCUCAUUUUCCAAUUUUUUAAGAAGCUGUCUAUCAAACUGACUACAGUCGAAAUUUAAGAUUCUUAGUAGCACAUGCUUUGUUUUGAAGCUGUCUAUCAAACUAACUACUCUUUAUAGUUGCCAAAUGUUAAUAUCUCACUAUCUUUACACAGUUUAUUUAAUCAAUUUUUUAGUAUAAAUAGUGCUGUCCUUGAUUAAAUAAUAAUGUCAAACAAAAUUAAGAGAAAAAUAUAACUGCCCAAUAAGAAUGACUUACCGAAUUACAUCACAAUAACAAAAGGUAAAGAAUAAAUAAAAUGGCAAGUAAAUGGCAUUAUAUAAUUUAUAUCAACUAAUUGAACACCUACUUCAUAUGGGAAGAAGAGGUCACAAAGGCAAAACAGGGAACAACAACUACUUCAUAUGGGAAUAAGACGUUGAAGUCACUGGUUUUAUUAAUGCCGGUGAUCGAAAUCAAUCCAAGUUAAUGUGAAAACGAUAUCAUUAU